rnacentral:rRNA from 1 species
CACGUAGGGUGCGAGCGUUGUCCGGAAUUAUUGGGCGUAAAGAGCUCGUAGGCGGUGUGUCGCGUCGGCCGUGAAAACCUGCAGCUUAACUGUGGGCUUGCGGUCGAUACGGGCAUCACUGGAGUUCGGCAGGGGAGACUGGAAUUCCUGGUGUAGCGGUGAAAUGCGCAGAUAUCAGGAGGAACACCGGUGGCGAAGGCGGGUCUCUGGGCCGAUACUGACGCUGGAGGAGCGAAAGC